rnacentral:rRNA from 1 species
AGAGUUUGAUCAUGGCUCAGGACGAACGCUGGCGGCGCGCCUAACACAUGCAAGUCGAACGGGGAAGUUAGCAAUAACUUCUUAGUGGCGAACGGGUGAGUAACGCGUAGACAACCAACCUUGCAGUGGGGGACAACACUUCGAAAGGAGUGCUAAUACCGCAUACGCUCUUCAGAUCGCAUGGUUUGAAGAGGAAAGGAGCCGCAAGGCUUCACUGCAAGACGGGUCUGCGUCUGAUUAGCUGGUUGGGGGGGUAACGGCCCACCAAGGCGACGAUCAGUAGCCGGUCUGAGAGGAUGAACGGCCACACUGGGACUGAGACACGGCCCAGACUCCUACGGGAGGCAGCAGUGGGGAAUCUUCCGCAAUGGACGAAAGUCUGACGGAGCGACGCCGCGUGAGUGAUGAAGGCCCUUGGGUCGUAAAGCUCUGUCAUUGGGGACGAACGAGCACGUCAGGAAAUGGGCGUGAAGUGACGGUACCCGGGAAGGAAGCCACGGCUAACUACGUGCCAGCAGCCGCGGUAAUACGUAGGUGGCAAGCGUUGUCCGGAAUUAUUGGGCGUAAAGCGCGCGCA